CGCGGGAUAGAGCAGUUGGCAGCUCGUCGGGCUCAUAACCCGGAGGUCGCAGGUUCGAGUCCUGCUCCCGCAACCA
rnacentral:tRNA from 1 species